AUACGGAGGAUGCGAGCGUUAUCCGGAUUUAUUGGGUUUAAAGGGAGCGUAGGUGGGAUAUUAAGUCAGCUGUGAAAGUUUGGGGCUCAACCUUAAAAUUGCAGUUGAUACUGGUUUCCUUGAGUACGGUACAGGUGGGCGGAAUUCGUGGUGUAGCGGUGAAAUGCUUAGAUAUCACGAAGAACUCCGAUCGCGAAGGCAGCUCACCGGGCCGGAACUGACGCUGAUGCUCGAAAGUGCGGGUAUCAAACAGGAUUAGAUACCCUGGUAGUCCGCACAGUAAACGAUGAAUACUCGCUGUUUGCGAUACACGGUAAGCGGCCAAGCGAAAGCGUUAAGUAUUCCACCUGGGGAGUACGCCGGCAACGGUGAAACUCAAAGGAAUUGACGGGG
rnacentral:rRNA from 1 species